CUAUAAGUGGCAAAUUUGCCAUUAAAUACGUUAUUUUAAAAGCAAAGUAAUAUAAAUUCAAAGCUCACCACUUCCUAAUGGUUGCAGUGACUUCCUGUUAGCUGUUUCUAUAUGGUGGAAAUGCUAUCCGACUGUGUGUCGCUGCCUCAGUCAGGGACCCAUGAGAAACAGGAUCCUUGGGACCAAGGAUAAACACCUCUUGGGGGAUUGAGACGGCCAAGCCAGCUCUCAGUCUUGUGGGUUAGCAGUGGUUCUAGAAAAUUAGGAGCUUAAAGGAAAACUAGCCUCCAAGGCCAAGAGGCGGGAGGCUGGGAGGUGAGCUCAGCCCCCUGGGACUCUGUGGUCAGCAGAAGGCCAGCUCAACCCCAGACGAGGCAGGGUCUGUGCUAUUCUGAAAAUCAUAUUAUUAGAGAUUUUACCAGACGAUAAGGGCAACUCCAGUGGCAAGAGGCCAACCCAUUUAGAAUAGUCACUGAGGUGACCCAGUUCCCUGUACCUGAUGAGCAUGGUAAACCGCACACCCCAGGUGGAGACCUGCGAUGGCGAUGAGACUCGGGACCUGUCGAGCAGCCUGAUGAGGAAGAUCGCAGGUGCCCCUGAAACCCACCUCUCCUCGUGGCCACAGCAGGAGCCUAGCUCCUGCCCAUCAGCAGGUGCCAGAGAAGUUGGGCACCCGUGUCCUUUGCUUGAGCCAGCCUGACAGCUCUGCGACUCCGUUCUGGCCCAAGCAGAAGCCCCCAGGAAAGUUUCACCUGUGCUUAAAUCCUCUCUGGGCCCCGUGUUCACUACUUCAGCUCUGGAUCCAGGAACUAACUUUGUGGUGCCUCUUCCCGACUCCAUGUUUGGUAAUGUCCUCUAGGUGGGUAGCAGGACAUCACACCCAUAGGAGCAUCUGCACAUGAAUACUGGUGAACUCUGUCACUCAGGGCUCUCCCCCUCCCCACCCUGGAAGAACCAGGCUCUGUUGGGAGGCAGAUCUCAGCACAUAGCCCCAGGUUUCUACAGAACUGUUGAAAAGGAAACAGGUGCUUAAGUUGGUCUCUAAUCGCUGCUUAUAAAUACCACAGCAACAAGAGAUUUCAAGAACUGUUAGCCCCUGGGCAGUAUCUUGUCCUUUUUUGUGACUGUGAAUGUUAUCAUUGUCUUCUUGAACUCUUUCUGGGUUUCUCCCUGAUGUGGCUGGGAUAUGGUUCAAGUGUCCCUUGUGUUCACGUGCUGGGAACCUGGACCCCAGACUGGGCAUGCUGAGACUGGUUGGACCUUUAAGAGGACGUGUGUAGGAGGAGGGGAUUGGACUGCCCAGGGCGGGAGGGAUCAAUGCAGUUCUCUGGGAACCCUGGCCAGUUCCCUUGACAGUGGUGGUUACACCAAGACCAAGCUUGGCCUUGGCUGGAUUCCUGACUCACCAUGUGAUCGCUCCCACUUGGACACACUCCCAUUGGGAUGCCAUCCACCAUGUUGGCCUGAGCCAAGCAGAUGCCAACGCCAUGCUCUUGGACCUCAGGAACUGUGAGUUAAAAAAACAACAACCCUCCUUUCUUUAUAAAGUACCAUCUCAGGUAUUUUGAUAGCAAUAGAAAGUGUACUUUCUAAUCCAAACCCGGGGUUCUGUGUUAGUCAGCUUUUGGUCACUGUAACAAAACACCCGAGAAAAUCAACUCAGAGGAGGAAAGGUUUAUUUUGGCUCAUGGUUUCAGGGUUAGCUCAUGGUUGGUUGAUCCCGUGGUUUCUGGGCCUGUGGUGAGACAGAGCAUUAGGAUGGGAAGGGUGUCACAGAGGAGACCUGCUCAGCUCACAGCAGCUGGAAGCAGAGAGAGAGGGGAAGGGGCUGGGGAUAAGAUAUGGUCACCAGGAGCUUGCUCCCAAGGACCUACUCCUUCAACUAGGUCCCAUCUUCCACAGGCCACCUCCUAAUUGUCCAUUCAGUUAUGACCCCAUCAAUGGGUUAAUCCACUGGCAAGGUCUGAGCCUUCCUGCUCCAAUCGCUACCCAGAAGUAACCCCUCUGGACAGUGCUGCACUUGGGACCAAGCCUUUAGCACAUGAGCUUUGGGGGACAUUCUAGACCCAAACCUCUUAUGUGCCACAGUCCCCUAUGUUCUCUUUUACAUGCAUGGUAUAAAAUGCCUUGCAUUCUAAAAGAAAUCAACCAUAUGAAAAUCAAGUCAUUGAAAUUUUGCAAUACGACAUGCUAUUCACACGUGUGCUUCCUUAUUAGCAUGUUAAUCCAAUCUAGCUGAGGGACCUUUAACUACCAUACUUUCAAAUUAGAGGUGGAUGUGGGUGACGUUUCAAGAUCCCAGCCACAGUUGUGAUGUGACAUGAACCCAGCCACGAAUUCUACUGGUGACAGAUUCAUUUACUGAAAAGGCAAACACAGCUCGUUGCCCACAGUCUUAAUGGAAGGAAAUGCUGCAUUUCAGUGAGAGAUUAGGGAGAAUAAACAGGUACUUUGUUCCAUCCAAGUUCACACGUCACCCCAAAGUCUGCUUGUGGACUCUGAGGAUCCCCCAGGGGGCUGGGUUAAAGUCCCUGCACCCACGUCUUUGCAGAAUCUCAGAAGUGCUCCUGAGCAUGUGCGGGUUCUGGGAAGUUUGCACGCCCCCUCCCCAUGGCGCCCUUUGGCAAGCAGAAGGACAAACUGGGUUGGCACUGGAAGCCUUGCUCCCAAAAGAGAACACUCAGGAGUCCCCAUAGUCAGGUGCCAUCUAUUUCUCUGCAUGGGGUGGACUUGGCUGGCACUCACCCAAGGUCCCUGUCCACUCACAGGUGCCAGGGCGGAAGUGAUGAUGGCCACUUCCAGGAUGUGCGUUGAGAAGGCCUUCAGACUACCGGGUUUCACCUCCCCAACCUGGUAGCCCUGAAGUAACACCAUGAAAGGUGGCUUCACAAAAGAGUGGGACCUCUGAGCACCUGGACCCCUGAAUGGCUCUGCAGAGCCUCUGCUCCAGGUGGAGGAGGAAGAGGGACGUCCUGGAUCGUGGAGUCUGGGCACAGCACUGAGCCUGUGCAGCCAGCUGCUCCCUUCCUGACCAGGGCAGCAGGAUCCUGUGCUUUCCUUUCUCUUCCAUGCUGGCCACAGAGCAGACUGUGUCCCCUGCAGAAGAAGGCCUGCAGAUUGUGGGUGGGGAGGGGAGGAGUCCACUACAGGCCUGGAGGCCCCCUUUGGCUGAGGUCACAUUCUUCAAUCUGUGGGCAGUCAGGCUUGCGGUUUGAUCUCUGUCUCCUGGUUCCUUGUUCUCUGUUUGUCCUGAAGGCAACAGAAGAAAGCACAGGUGCAUUAUUUGUGCUCCCUGCCCUCAGGAUAUUUUCUCCACCUUCAUCUCCACCCCUAUCAGAUACUGAGCUCUUGGAAGCAAAGGUAUUUUGAAUUUAUCUCAACCUUCCUGUGAUUUUGACAUGGCCUGGCAUUUAAAGUCUGAGGAUAUCAUAGAGCUGAUCAGACUGCGAUGGUCACCGGGGCUUGGAGGUAAUUCUGUGCGUGUCCCUCAGAGCAUGAUCGUGCUGCUGAGGACACACAGAGUGGAAGAGGCCUUGGGGCCCCUCAGCACAGAGACUGUGCACUUGUGACAUUUGCAGAUGUCCACCUUUUCUCUCCAAAGCCGAGAGGAUUCUUGGAGUCACUUUUUGUCAUCUCUGCUGGGACGCCGGAGGAGAGAAUGCUGCUCUGGGAGCCAUCUGCUCCCUCUGGAAGAGAUUCGAUUGUGCAAGAGUUCAUCCCGGUCUGAGCUGAGAUCUGCCUGGGAGCAAGUUCCCUCGCUGUCCUUCGGUCCUGGCUCUGCCUUUGGGGACCACAGGGAUCACGUCCAAUCUCAGCCUGCACAUGGCUCCUUACAUCGGCAAGUCAGCCUGUCACCCCAGCUGAGCUCUCCCUUGUCCCCGAGGAGUGGAGCGCCUGUCAGACCUUUAAGAUGGCUUUUUAUGGCAUAUCUGUUAGCAAGAGUUUAUUGAUUACUUAAAGUCCAAGGGAUACAGUGGGAGAAGGACCAUGUUGGGGCUCUGGCAUUCAAUCCUCCUGCACAUUCUUGGGGGGCCAACCCUGGGCCAGGCUCCGGGCCAGGUGAUGGGGAUGCGGGAAGGAACCGCAGGCUGCAGGCAGCCCCUGGCUUGAAGCUUCUUGAGGCCUGGUGGGGAAGGAACGUCUGCCUCUGUGUGCUGAGUUUAUGGCAGGUCCCAGUUGAGCCCAUUUCCCCAUUAGACAUGCACAGGAAACGGAGACCCCUCUGCUUGCCGUCUGCGCAGAGCUGGUGAUUGAGCCUGAGAGUGAUUUCAAGCUCUGUGGAGGAAGAAGAGGGAAAGCUCAAUGCCAAGUCUGAGAUGCAAUCCACUGACGAUGUGUCGCAGCCUGCCAGGCCACAGGAUGAGGCUCUGUCCCUGGAGACCCCACCAUUCAUCCACUUGGGGACGUCAGGAGAGAAAUAGCAAAUCUCAGUCCAGGCCAAAUCGGGUAUUGCCAGCAAGACAGAUAAACACUGUCUGGGGCAGUUGGAGAAGGGGAGCUGGCGGGCAGCUGGAAGAAUGGAAAGGCUUCUGCCGGGUCUGGCCUUGGUCAGGCCCUGGAAGACUUGGCGGGGCAGCGUUGGGGGCGAAGAGGCGCCGCCUGAACGUGAAUCGCCUGUGUACUUCAUAUGGUUGGCUGUGUGGGUAGAGCAGAAGCCCCUGCCUCUUGAAGCAGCACCAGAAGUUGAUUUAGGGAUGACUUACUCCACAAACACCUACCAGAGAGCAGAGGCCUGCCCUGUUCUAAACUCACAGCUUAGGGAAGGGGCCACGUGGAACAGAAUUCUCAGGGAGUCGAAGCAUGAGAUGGUGUUGCGAGCGUGCACCUGUACCGUUUUACACGGUCUCCAUGGGUGGCCCUUCCCUGCUGCACAGAUGAUCAGAUCCUGGCUCCUGCUCUCUACACCUCACCCCACCCCCACCCCAUGACUUUCUCAAGACUCCUUCCCUGGGACCACCCCGGCUCUCCCUGCAUAAUUAACUUCUCAUCUCAACCAGCCAAUCCCGUUAGGUGAGAACCCUGCUAUGGUGUUAGAGAAAACAAAGAAGUCCUCCCGGGACACUACCUCCUCCUUGGCUGUGGGGUCCAGCUUCCCUGCUCCGGCUCCCGCCAGCCCUUCUUGAGUGAGUGGCACGUGGCCCCUGUGUCUACCCGCAGGGCUCCUGUGGUUCCCCCAUUUCCAUCUGUCUUCAGUCGCUGCCAUUCCUCUGAGCCUUGCCUGACAAGGGCAGCAGUGACCUCCACACAAGCACAUCCAAUAAUAACGUCUCCGUCUUCGUGAUGGUGCAGGUCCCAGCAGCUGUGGGCCCGGUGGGACGCUCCUCUCUGGAACGUCUUUCUUCUGUUUCCAAGUUUCCUGGUUUCCCCUCCCUCACUUGUCACAAGCCGUCUGUGGGCUGUGUGUGGACCAUGUUGCGCAUAGUAGGUAGCCUAAUGAGGGGAUAAGUCUGGCACUGGGAGCCUCCCGUGGCACCCCCACAGGGAUUGAUCACCUGAUACAGGUGAACUUCCCCCCAAGCUCUGCCAGAGAUCCCACACAGCACCUGAGAUGGGUGUGACCUGCCAAGAUGUCAGUCAACCGGCUGACUGCGACACCAAGAAGCCAGACUCCUGCCUUUGAUGCCCCCCACCCCCCGCACACACACACAUAUCAAUAAAGCAAGUGCAAGCUCCAUUUUGCCAGAGUCCAGAAGCUCCAUCCUUCUGAUCAGCUUGCCCCUCCUGCCCCCACUUUUAAAACUACUUUCUGUGUCCUGUGGUUUCUUCGUCAUUCUAUUUUUCUUAGCUUUUAUUUCUCAGCCAGUCCAUUCCGCCGAGGGGAGACCCAUUUCCAUCACCUGCGCAGGACACGGGCAAGACUCACUCUGGGAUUCUUUCGCCCUCCUCGAAGGGCUCUGCUUCUGCUGACUUCCAGGGGCCUGGAGUUCUCUGGGGCUCAGUCCUAGCCCCCUCUCUUUCCAACACUCUCCUGGUGAGUCCGUCCCGUGCUGUGACGUUGCAGCCCCUCUCGGUGCGCAGAGCUCCUGUCUCCUAGGCGCGUGCCUCCGCAGGGCAAAUGGCGCUGCACAUGGAGCCCAGUGACGCCUCCCAUCUCACAAACCCCAAAGGGAACUCUGAUUCCCACUGGCACCUCCAGGCCACUCUUCCUCCACCCUUCUCCAGGCAGCUGCCCACCGCCCUCCAGCAGCCAGAGCCCCAAACCCAGGGUCAUUUUUAAAGCUUCUUGUCCCUCCCGCCCUCUCACAGCCAAGCCUUCAACUCCACCUCAAAGCCGGUCCUCAGCAACCAAUUACCUCCAUUCUUGCUCUAGCUCUUGCUCAAGCCCUCCCUUCUGGUGGCUGCAGCAGUCCCCUAACGGUUCUAUGUCCCCUCUUGUCCCCUCUAUCAUGGCAUCUCCACUCAGUAUCUGGAAUGAUCUUUUAAAAAUGAAAAUCAGAUCUCAUCUCCCCCCCGCCCCCGCCCCCAACUUAUGACCUCCCACCGCUUAGGAAUGUAUUGCAAGCCCUGUUUCUGGCUGUGGCCCAAGUGUGGCUUCUUCAGGGCCCUGUCACACACUCUUUCUCCCCCUUCCCUUCAGUGCACCUGAGAAUGGUCUCCUUACUCUUCCUCCCUCCUGCUGGGCCAUCUCCUGCCCCUGGGCCUUGGUCUAGUCUGUUCUUUGACCUGCAAGGCCAUGUGGCCGGCUCCUCCCCUUCCGCUCACUCGCCCAUUGCUGCAUUUUGAUUUUCUGCAUUCUGUGCAUACUACGGCUCACCCUCCACUCUCUUCUUUGGCUGUUUGUCUGUCCACCUGGCCCUCUCCAGUGGCAUACGGCUUCUGGGACAGCCCUGAGCUUGCCAAGUUGCUCCAGCUAAUCCCUGGCCUCUUGGAGAGCCCUUGGUCCAUGGUGGGUGUUCAGAAGCUCCAUGGAGGAGGGAUGAGUGAAUGCUGUGCUGAGGCCCUCACAGGCAGGUCCCUGGGUGUUCCUCUGGUUGCCUGUCUGCAAACAAAGCCACAAUGGCUCUCCUGCCUGGACCCCAGUUCUGGAGGACAAUUCCUUCACCCUGGCUCAGGCCAUGGCCAGAGGAACAGUAGGAAAAGCAACUUGAGAAGUGGCUGCAGCUUCUUAGAGAAUGUGCCCAGCCAGCCCAUGGAGGAUGAGAGGCCCCCCGAGGAGAACUGCGGCCAGCAGACAGCAAUUACCAGCCGAUUCCCUCCUGGAUGAGCUCUUUGGGAACCUCCCUGGUCACCCCGUGGCUGGAGGGCUGCCUGAUGACAUUCUUAAGCCUGGGUCGGUGCUGCUUCACUUAGGCCCAGCAUUGGCCCUGUGUCGUUCUACCUGCCGACAGUGGUGACUCCCUGCUAGUUGGUUGGUCAGGGGCGGGCAGUGGGGCAGGUGGCUGAAGCCGGAGAACGGAACCCACAUGGGUCCCCACCACCAAGCAGGUGAAGGAAGCAAAGCUCAGAGGAGGAAGGUCACGGACCCAGGCUCAGCUGCCCAGGUCCAUGCUGCUCUGAGUGUCUGAGAUGUCGGGAGGUAAAAUGCCUCUAUAUUUCAAGGUCUUGGCACAGAAAUAGAAAGAAUGUAUAAUAUUCAUCUUUUGAAGCUAUUGAUUACAUGUGAAGGAAUAUUUUGGAUGCACUGGGUUUAACAAAUGUUUUAUUAAAAUGAGUGUCACCUGUG